rnacentral:rRNA from 1 species
AAAAUUGCAGUUGAUACUGUCAGUCUUGAGUACAGUAGAGGUGGGCGGAAUUCGUGGUGUAGCGGUGAAAUGCUUAGAUAUCACGAAGAACUCCGAUUGCGAAGGCAGCUCACUGGACUGCAACUGACACUGAUGCUCGAAAGUGUGGGUAUCAAACAGGAUUAGAUACCCUGGUAGUCCACACAGUAAACGAUGAAUACUCGCUGUUUGCGAUAUACAGUAAGCGGCCAAGCGAAAGCAUUAAGUAUUCCACCUGGGGAGUACGCCGGCAACGGUGAAACUCAAAGGAAUUGACGGGGGCCCGCACAAGCGGAGGAACAUGUGGUUUAAUUCGAUGAUACGCGAGGAACCUUACCCGGGCUUAAAUUGCAGUGGAAUGAUGUGGAAACAUGUCAGUGAGCAAUCACCGCUGUGAAGGUGCUGCAUGGUUGUCGUCAGCUCGUGCCGUGAGGUGUCGGCUUAAGUGCCAUAACGAGCGCAACCCUUAUCUUCAGUUACUAACAGGUCAUGCUGAGGACUCUGGAGAGACUGCCGUCGUAAGAUGUGAGGAAGGUGGGGAUGACGUCAAAUCAGCACGGCCCUUACGUCCGGGGCUACACACGUGUUACAAUGGGGGGUACAGAAGGCGGCUAGCGGGUGACCGUAUGCUAAUCCCAAAAUCCUCUCUCAGUUCGGAUCGAAGUCUGCAACCCGACUUCGUGAAGCUGGAUUCGCUAGUAAUCGCGCAUCAGCCACGGCGCGGUGAAUACGUUCCCGGGCCUUGUACACACCGCCCGUCAAGCCAUGGGAGCCGGGGGUACCUGAAGUACGUAACCGCAAGGAUCGUCCUAGGGUAAAACUGGUGACUGGGGCUAAGUCGUAACAAGGUAACCA